rnacentral:misc_RNA from 1 species
AUUUUUUAAUUUUUAAAUUAAGUUCUCCUAGUUAAGUUAAAAAUGUAGAUUAUUAUGUAUAUUAUUUUAACUUUAAAAUAUUUUUAAUGAAUUAUAGGAAAAUAUCAUUUGGUUGACACUGGAUAUCCAAAUAUAAAGGGUUAUCUUAAACCUUACAAAGAUGUGAGAUAUCAUUUAUUGGAAUUUAGAUUUGGUCAACCACGAUCAGGGUGAGAAGAAUUUUUAAUCGCGUACAUUCUUUGUUGCGAAGUGUAAUUGAAAGAAUAUUUGGGGUGUGGAAGAAUAGAGACAUAUUUUAGAUAAUAUGCUUGCCUAUCCUUUUAAAGUACAAAUAAAAAUUGUUAUUACUUCAAUGAUUUUGCACAACUAUAUCUGAAAGAGGUCAAGAUAUGCUAGAGUUUUUCAAAUAUUUGAUAAGAAUCUUGAAUACAUGUCUUUCAAUAACUUGCCUGAUGUUGAAGGUAUUUCA